rnacentral:tRNA from 1 species
AGGUUUAUAGCUCAAUGGAAGAGCUACCGAUCUUUCAUUCUCCCUGUCAGAAUAACUUAGCCGCGGUAGACGCAAGUUCGAUUCUUGCAAAAUCUC